GCCAUCCUACGGGACGCAGCAGUGGGGAAUAUUGCACAAUGGGGGAAACCCUGAUGCAGCGACGCCGCGUGAGCGAAGAAGUAUUUCGGUAUGUAAAGCUCUAUCAGCAGGGAAGAAAAUGGCGGUACCUGACUAAGAAGCUCCGGCUAAAUACGUGCCAGCAGCCGCGGUAAUACGUAUGGAGCAAGCGUUAUCCGGAUUUACUGGGUGUAAAGGGAGCGCAGGCGGCUUUGCAAGUCUGAUGUGAAAGGCCGG
rnacentral:rRNA from 1 species